rnacentral:rRNA from 1 species
AUUGAACGCUGGCGGCAGGCUUAACACAUGCAAGUCGAGCGAGCGGCGGACGGGUGAGUAAUGUCUGGGAAACUGCCUGAUGGAGGGGGAUAAAUACUGGAAACGGUAGCUAAUACCGCAUACCAUCAGAUGUGCCCAGAUGGGAUUAGCUCGUAGGUGGGGUAUUGGCUCACCUAGGUGUCGAUCCCUAGCUGGUCUGAGAGGAUGACCGGCCACACUGGAACUGAGACACGGUCCAGACUCCUACGGGAGGCAGCAGUGGGGAAUAUUGCACAAUGGGCGCAAGCCUGAUGCAGCCAUGCCGCGUGUGUGAAGAAGGCCUUCGGGUUGUAAAGCACUUUCAGCGAGAAGGCGUUACUCGCAGAAAAAGCACCGGCUAACUCCGUGCCAGCAGCCGCGGUAAUUC